rnacentral:rRNA from 1 species
CUUGUGCUUCUGGAGGGACCCGCGCCCCAUUAGCUUGUUGGUGAGGUAACGGCUCACCAAGGCUCCGAUGGGUAGCCGGCCUGAGAGGGCGAUCGGCCACACUGGAACUUAGACACGGUCCAGACUCCUACGGGAGGCAGCAGUGAGGAAUAUUGCGCAAUGGGCGAAAGCCUGACGCAGCGACGCCGCGUGGAGGAUGAAGGCCUUCGGGUUGUAAACUCCUGUCAGGAGGGACGAACGUCAACAGGCUGAAUAAUCCUGUUGGUUGACGGUACCUCCAAAGGAAGCCCCGGCUAACUCCGUGCCAGCAGCCGCGGUAAUACGGAGGGGGCCAGCGUUGUUCGGAAUUAUUGGGCGUAAAGGGCGCGUAGGCUGCUUUGCAAGUCGAAGGUGAAAUCCCUCAGCUCAACUGAGGAA